UUAAUCAUAAAAAUCAUAAACCUAGAAAAAACCAUAAACUCUAAAAAAACACUUAAACUAAAAUCCGAAUAGCUAAAACCUAAACAAAGAAACCCUAAGAAACUCUAAGCCUUAAACUCUUAUAAACCUUAAUACCCUAAAACUUAAGAUCCUAAACCCUAAACCCUAAAAAAAUCACUAAGAAAUCCAAAACCCUAAAAAUCACUAAGAAAAACUAAACCAUAAAAACCUAAAAAAAAAACUUUAAAACCCCUAAAUCUAAAGAACCCUAAAUCCCAAACUCUAAACCUUGAACCCUAAACCCUUAAAAAUCAUAAGCCAAAAGCCGAAAACCCAAAACCCUAAACCCAAAAAAGCACUAAGGAACCCAAAACCCUAGAAAAGAAUAAAUUUAUUUUUAUAAACUCUAACCCUUGAAAACCUCUAAAAAAUCUUAAACCUAACAAACCUAAACCCUAUUCUAGAAAAACCCUAAAUUUAAAAUCAUAAGCCUAAGACCCAAAGAAACCCUAAGCCUUAAGAACCCCUAAAUCGUAAGAAAUCAUAACAAUCUUGAAAAUCCCUUUUUAAAAUCCUAAACCCUAAGAAACACUAAACCCUAAACCUUAGGGAGACCCCUAAACCUCAAGACUUGUGAAACACCAACAAACCCUAAAGCCUAAGAAAUCCUAAAGCCUAAAAACACCUUUAAAAAUACUAAACCUAAAAACACCCUUUAAACCCGUAACCCCUAAAAAUCCUAAAUUUAAAAUCCUAAUCCCUUAACCCAAAGAAAUUCUAAGCCCUAAGAACCCCUAAACCGUAGUAAAUCAUAACAAUCUUGAAAACCCCUUUUAAAAUCUUAAACCUAAAAAAACUCUAAACCUAAGAAAUUCAACAAAAACUUAAGCCAUAAACCUUAAAAACCCUUAAAUAAAAACCUAGACCUUAUACCCAAAGAAACCCUAAACCUUAAGAAACCCUAAGCUUUAAGAAAUAAAAAAAAAGCCCUAAAACACUUUUAAAAACCGUAAACCCUAAAAACCCUAUAAAAUCCGUACGAUCUAAGAACCCCUUAAUCGUUAACAAACCAUAAAAAUCCUAAACACCUUAAAACCCUAAAAAAUCUUCUAAACCUAAUAAAACCCUAGAAAAUCUUAAGUCCAAAACCCUAAAUCCUAAAAACCCUUAAAAAAACCAAACCCUAAGAAAUCCUAAACGCUAAAUAAUAUACCCUAAGAAACUCUAAAUCCUUAACUCUAAAUCAUAGGGCUAAACCUUAAACCCCAAACCAUAUGGAAUCCUAAGAAAUCCUACACCCUAAAAUCCAUUUAAACACCUAAAACUAUAAUACUCGAG
rnacentral:lncRNA from 1 species